rnacentral:rRNA from 1 species
UACAGAGGUCUCAAGCGUUGUUCGGAUUCAUUGGGCGUAAAGGGUGCGUAGGUGGCGCGCUAAGUCCGUUGUGAAAGUCAAAGGCUCAACCUUCGAAAGCCGAUGGAUACUGCAGGGCUAGAGUCCGGAAGAGGCGAGUGGAAUUCCUGGUGUAGCGGUGGAAUGCGCAGAUAUCAGGAGGAACACCAAUAGCGAAGGCAGCUCGCUGGGACGGUACUGACGCUAAGGCGCGAAAGCGUGGGGAGCGAACAGG